GAUGAAGAACGUAGCGAAAUGCGAUAAGUAAUGUGAAUUGCAGAAUUCAGUGAAUCAUCGAAUCUUUGAACGCACAUUGCGCCCCUUGGUAUCCCGAGGGGCAUGCCUGUUCGAGCGUCAUUUCACCACUCAAGCCUGGCUUGGUGUUGGGCGACGUCCCCUUUGGGGACGCGCCUCGAAACGCUCGGCGGCGUGGCACCGGCUUUAAGCGUAGCAGAAUCUUUCGCUUUGGAAGUCGGGGCCCCGUCUGCCGGAAGACCUACUCGCAAGGUUGACCUCGGAUCAGGCAGGGAUACCCGCUGAACUUAAGCAUAUAAAUAAGCGGAGGA
rnacentral:misc_RNA from 1 species